CGUUGCUUCACUUGCGGGAAGGUACCCUACCUUGCAAUUUCAAAUUUCAGUUUUACAAAUCCGUCACACACACUUUUCUUGAUGGUCUCUCAUUCUUCAAAUCGUUAAGUCAUUGGAAACAAAUGGGACACCUAUCUUGAUCUUCUCCAGGCGGAUUACACUGAAGGGUGAGAGUAAAGAAUACUUAUAUGAGCUAUAUAUGUCUGUUCUAUUCUAUGUAUAUCAAUGCGAACAAAUCACUAUCUAUGUAUGCGAGUUGUAUAGUAAUUGAAUCUACACUCGUUGUUUUUUGUUAA